rnacentral:rRNA from 1 species
GAUGAACGCUGGCGGCGUGCCUAAUACAUGCAAGUCGAGCGAACAGACGAGGAGCUUGCUCCUCUGACGUUAGCGGCGGACGGGUGAGUAACACGUGGAUAACCUACCUAUAAGACUGGGAUAACUUCGGGAAACCGGAGCUAAUACCGGAUAAUAUAUUGAACCGCAUGGUUCAAUAGUGAAAGACGGUUUUGCUGUCACUUAUAGAUGGAUCCGCGCCGCAUUAGCUAGUUGGUAAGGUAACGGCUUACCAAGGCGACGAUGCGUAGCCGACCUGAGAGGGUGAUCGGCCACACUGGAACUGAGACACGGUCCAGACUCCUACGGGAGGCAGCAGUAGGGAAUCUUCCGCAAUGGGCGAAAGCCUGACGGAGCAACGCCGCGUGAGUGAUGAAGGUCUUCGGAUCGUAAAACUCUGUUAUUAGGGAAGAACAAAUGUGUAAGUAACUAUGCACGUCUUGACGGUACCUAAUCGGAAAGCCACGGCUAACUACGUG